AGGGUUGUAGUCCAGUGGUAGAACAUUUGUCCAGCAUGCAUGAGGCCCUGGGUUCAAUCCCCAGCACCACAU
rfam:Ictidomys tridecemlineatus contig097352, whole genome shotgun sequence.